rnacentral:lncRNA from 1 species
AAAUACCGGCUUCACAACAGGGGGCAACAAGUGGAAGAUACAGAGCCAGCAAAUCGACAAGCAAGUUUCCAAGAGCCAUGGAAACCUGAGAGCCACUCCGGAAACUCCUGGAGCACAUGGAGUUAGUCCAACUUCCCAGUUGUCCACUAAGCUUAGCGGUGCUGGGACUACUUGGAAGGCCUCUGCUGCUGACAAUGCCAAUAGGGUCGAAAACGAGCUAUGGCCUCAGAAGCCAGUUUUGCAAAUCUGGGGACACUGAUGCAAACUUAUUCUCCUAGAAUUUUAUGUGUAAGGGGUAUAUGUGAAGGGGUUCAGUUUGUAAGUGCUGAGGUCACACAAUACAAAAAAAUGAAAUAUUUCCAAAUUGGUGAUCUGUUAUUUGAUCUCUUUGGUAAGUUGCAUGGUGUGAGUGACAAGGAACCCAACCACAAACCAGGCUCUAAAAUUAGAGGCAUAAAAGGAUUUUUUAACUGCAAAAUUCUAUUAACCUUCAAAACACGAGAAAACGGAAAAUAAUAGUUGAGGGUUUGCCUUUGGAAUUUCAAUGGCUGAUUUGUGCUUCUUUCCAUGGCCAUAUUUCACCUAAUUCUUCCCUUCCCUGCCAUCCUUUCUCCAGGAUUACUGUCUUUUGUUCUUCCUCAUCAAAGCUUCUGUUUAAUGGCAAGAAUUCCUUCAGUUCGGGAUCCUUAGAUUCUUCAGAUUUCAUACUUUGUUUCAUCCUCUUGCCUUCUUGUUUCAUAACCUCAAAGAAUUGGAACUGUAAAAAUAAAUAAAUAAAUAAAUAAAUGACUAAUCAGGAGAAGAAAGAAAAAAAAAUGCAUGAAAAGCAACACAAUUAUGAGGAUAACCUGAGCAAAAUUUCAGAUUCUUGGGCUUUCCCAUCUUCUCAGCAACCCAACAUCACAUGAACGAUUUUCUUUGAUCUGUUUCAGGUUUGAUUCGGUGCUCAAUUUGAUCCAAAUUGUUUGACUGAAUACAUAUCCAACCCUUCUUGAAUUUCUGGGACAUCAUUCCAUAGAAGUUCACCCCACAUUUUCAAGUUCCUGGUUCCACAGCAAUGAUAAUGUGAAUCAAUUGAUUCCUUUUUUAUUUAAUAUAAAUGAAAUUUAAUGAAUGCUCAGCAAAUUUGAAGAAAUUUCUAAAAGAGACUGCAAAAUUGAUAACAGAUGAAAAUAACACAGCUUUCUCCACUGUCCCCUUUUGCAAGACAGUGCCAAUAGUAACUUCAGUUUUGCCAAAAAUCUGUUUCAAACUCAGUAAGAUCCUUCAGAGACAAGAGACAGAAAUAUUGGAACUUUUAGUAAAAAAAUUUCAAUGCCAAGCUCAUAUGCUUUUGCCCCUAGUAGAAUUUUGUUUCACCGGAUGUCUAACUUAUGUUUACCUAUAAAGUUCAAAAACAGAAUCCAAACAACAGUCUAUUACUUUUAAGUCAGUGUUCUUAGAAUUUAGAAAUCAUGAUUAUAUUUUUCUUUAUCAGAACAAUCAUGAUUGUGGUUACUAGUACACAAACAUAAUAUAAUUUGCAUCUACCAUUUGCAUUACAACAGGUUCAUUUAACUCUAUUUUGUGCAGGAGAAACUUGUCCCUUCAAUGAAGAGGACAUAUUUAACCAUGGUUCAAAGAGAGAUGGACUGAUACAAAUGGGUUUGUGCAGGACAGAAAAAAUGAAAACAAAUUUUACCUCAUAUUUUAAGAAAAAUGUUAUCCAUCAAUAAGCACAAAACAUUCAGCUCAAAAAAAUAAAAAAAUAAAAUAAAAGAAGAAGAAGAAGAAAGGAUUUCUUUAAACCAGGUUAGGACCUACCAUGAUUAGGACCCAAAACCAGGUUAUGCAAUUAGGCUACAAUUAGCACAUGGGUCUCAGAUAGGUCCAAGAUGUAACAUGGGUUAUCCAAUGUUUCCAUGUUAAGGACAAAAUUAUUAGUAACAAAGUAAAGCAAUUCAUUCUAGUGAUUAAACCAUAAUGUCAUUUUACAUCUUAAAUUGCCCUCCUCUCAUAUUUCUUAUAAGGGUAAAUACGACUUAUAAAAAAACUAAUUAUCAACUCAACAUUCUCCACUCUUUCACUUUUUUUUUUUUCCGAGUAUAAUUGAUGAUUUACAAUUAUACUAAGGCCAUUUAUUUCGUCUUUUUGACACAUGGAUCUAUGUCGAGUCUCAUAAGCAAGCUGAAGCUAAAUCCUGUACUUUGAUUUGAUACUUCAAAAUUAUCCACUAACUUAAUUCAAUGCCUAAAAUAUAACAUGAUUGAAAGCCACUUUUCAACCUAUCUUUAGCAAAAAUAAAUAUUUAAUUGGUUGAGACGAACGCAUGCACACACACAGCAUUGCUGAGCAGUAUUCAAUUAAUGCCUUUUACUUUUACUUUUCUUUUUUCAUAAAAUAUAAUUUUGUGAAAUUAUUCUCCAUCUAGAUUCAUACAAUUAAUUAACUACUUUAUUUUCUUCAUUCCUUGUUUUGUCACAAGUAUUUUAUUUAUAGCAUACACAAAUGAUAACUAAUCACAUCAAACUUAUCCAUUCUAGUAUUAUUAAUAUUUUAUUUGCAACACCCCGUUGAUGUCAAAUUGUAUUACAUAGGCAAGGUAACAACAGAUAUACAUUAGGUAAAAGUUGUGAACAGCAUAAAUUGGAAAGAGCCAGACAGAUAUACGUUACCUAGAGAACAGCAGAUAUGUGACAACUAAGCAAGGAUAUGUGGCUAUCAAAACCUGAAAGAACUUCACACGGAGAAUCUCUGAUGUCACCAAAGCCUUCUCUAGGGAUUUUUCAAUGCCCUUUUCCCAAUUCUCACCUUUUUCUCUCUUUUUUCAUAACUUCAAAACCACCCCUCCUGUGUCCUCUUGUACUCAGAUUUCACCACACAGAGAUCCAAUAAUCUUCAAGCUCUCUGGAAUUGAGUUUGGGUGCCAAAAAUAGACUUACAUCCCCAACAACAACGCCGAUCUUUGGAUUACCUUUCUAAAACUAAGGGCGUUUCCGAGAGAUUGGAGGCACUGGAUGAUGAUCUUGACUCUUGAGAAGUUAGAGCAAGAGAUGGUCAAGAUGAAUGACUACAAAAACAAAUCCUUAUUGCACAUUGAUUCUCAAGUAUGGUAGGCUAUCUUCUAGGGGGUUCUUUGAAGUUUUUACUUUUAAUGAUUCUGAUCAAUCGGUAAUUGUUUAUUUACUUUAUUUUCUUGUUUUCUUGGUUCCAACUGUUGAGGUUUUCAAAAAGGAAGAUGAGAAGAGUAGUGAAAUAUGGAAUCUGAAGAAUCUAAGAGGCCAGUGCUGAAGGAGUUCCUGCCAUUAAAGAGAAAUUUUGACUAGGAGGAACAAAGUGCAGUAAUACUGGAGAAAAACGGCAGAGGGAAGAACAAGAUGAACUCUGAUCACAAAAAGAGACAGAAAUCAGCCACAUAAAUUCAAAGGUAAACACUAAACAAUUUUUUCCUUUUUUUCCUCUAAUGUUUGUGGGGGUUACGGACUAGAACAUUGCAACACAAAAACCAUUUCACCCCUGCCAAUUAAGCAAAGGAACAAUCAUUACAUUAUUCAAGGCCAAUGACCCCACUUUUCUGCCAACCUCACCAACAGCAAGACAUGGAGGUUGAAGAAGGACCAAAUCGAUCCCUUCUUCUUCCCAGAAACUAAGGACACAAACUGGGUUGCAACUCCCAUGCAGACCCAUGGGCAAUGGUGCCACUUAUAGGCUCUGAAUGAAUGGCCAAAGCAGAAAGGAGGAACAGUAGGCAACCUGGAAGAACAACAGAAGAUGCCAGUCAGCAGAGCAGCAUGCUAGUUUCAUGGCCACCAUGGAGCUCCUUGGUGACCCAGAAAGUUAUAUUUCAGUAUUAGAGAAUCAUGAAUCUGAAUUUAUCUUUUGUGAGAGUUUUAGCCUCUUUAGAAUCUCAAACUUUACAGACAAUGAAGAGAAAAGGGAAAGGGAACAAAAAUAUAAACUCAAGAUUAUUUUCUAAUAUGAUCCAUUUCUUAAGAAAACACAAAGCCUACAAAUUUUGAACCGUAGAGAAAUUUGCAGAAUGUUAACUAUACUUCACUUUCUUUUAUUUUUUUCUUAAUUAAAUAAGACAGUUAAAUUUCUUAGAAAUUUUAUUCCUUAAAACCAUUUUUUUUUCUCCCUUUCCCUUUCUCUUUCCCUUUCCCCUUCAGUUUCGGAGAACUGGAUACGAAAAUUUGUGAAAGGGCAUUUUGAAACUAUAAAAACAAAUUUCAAAAAACACAAAAUUUCAAAUGUUAUUAUUAGAUUUAAGUUUCCAACGCACUUUCAAUUGCAACGAAAUAAGAGAAUUGAAUUAUCAUCUAAUUUUUCUUUUUCCAUUCCUCACCAAUUUCCAAGAUUUUAUAUGAAAAUGAAGAACACCUGUUUCAGAGAAUGUAGUCCUACUCUACAAAACAUCGCAUGGUACGGUAAGUUUCUUCUUUGCUAGACCUCAUGCAUACCUAAAUUAGGGUUUCUUUUCUCUCUACCAUCUUUGAUAGUUGAACAUUUAGGGUAUCUGGGUUCAAAAGUAGGAUUGUUUAUUUCAAGAAAAUUUGAAGAAAAAGAAUCAUAAAAUUUAUCACUAAAUUGCAUUAUUCAAAGGGAUAUCAAACGAAUUUGAGGAAAAAAAAAAAGGAAAGAAAGCAGCAUCGAGCCAUACCUUUCCCAAUGCAAUGGGCAUGGUGAAUCUGAAUCAUGGACCAGUGUCAUGAAUAAUGCAAAUUCACCAUCCCUUCCAGUAUUUUAUUAUCAAACAGUAAACCCUAGGCCCUGUUGCAGGAGGCUGUGUGAGGGAGAGAAGCGAGACUGCUGUGUAUUCUAGAUGUGAGGGCCCUAAGAUCCCUAAAUGUAAUUGUUUUUAUAGAGUCCCUACAUUUUUUCUUAUUUAUCAUGCGGUUCAUAUAUAUUUAAGUUUUAAGUUCCUAAGAGAAAUUGAGAAUUGUUUUUAAAAAUUAUUUUCAUAAAUUGUUUUUUAAUAAUUGUUU